GAUGAACGCUGGCGGCGUGCCUAAUACAUGCAAGUCGAGCGAACAGAUGAGGAGCUUGCUCCUCUGACGUUAGCGGCGGACGGGUGAGUAACACGUGGAUAACCUACCUAUAAGACUGGGAUAACUUCGGGAAACCGGAGCUAAUACCGGAUAAUAUAUUGAACCGCAUGGUUCAAUAGUGAAAGACGGUUUUGCUGUCACUUAUAGAUGGAUCCGCGCCGCAUUAGCUAGUUGGUAAGGUAACGGCUUACCAAGGCAACGAUGGGUAGCCGACCUGAGAGGGUGCUCGGCCACACUGGAACUGAGACACGGUCCAGACUCCUACGGGAGGCAGCAGUAGGGAAUCUUCCGCAAUGGGCGAAAGCCUGACGGAGCAACGCCGCGUGAGUGAUGAAGGUCUUCGGAUCGUAAAACUCUGUUAUUAGGGAAGAACAAAUGUGUAAGUAACUAUGCACGUCUUGACGGUACCUAAUCAGAAAGCCACGGCUAACUACGUG
rnacentral:rRNA from 1 species